rnacentral:tRNA from 1 species
GGUGAAAGGGCGUAUCGGCCUAGAGUCCAUACUGGUCUUGAAAACCGCUAGGCCGGGUGACCGGUCUCGUGGGUUCGAAUCCCACGCUCUCCGCC